GGUAAAGUAGACAUUUUGAUCUAAAAAUUGGACAUUUUUGCAAAGAUUAUAAAAAAAGUACACUUUUCAACUCCAACCCUUAUAAUUGGACAUUCUUGAAAAUGCCUCAAAGAGAAAUUGAAUUCUGUCUCAACUCCAAAACAAAGCCUACCCUCCUCUAUAAGAGACGGCAAAAGACAAGCAGUUAUAUCUGUACAAAGUUACAUUUUCAUUAGAUAAUGCACAGAAAAAUGUAAGUAAAAAACAUGAUGUGACAAGUGAAUCAGGAAAGUUACACCAAACUAGUUUCUGAUUGACCCUCCACAGUAUUGGGUCAUCCCUGUCAUAGGAAUGUCAGUGAGAACUAACUGUGCAAGCAAAUGUUACAAGAUAUAAUUAAAAUCUUCUCUGCUAAUGGACUAAGAAAUUUAUACCCCCAGACAGAAUUCUCGUUUUAGCGCCCAUUAAAAUCUAUCUAGGGCCUCCAUGUGCCUCUCCACGCCUUCUCCUCCUCCCAGAACGCCCAAAAAAAAUUCUACCUUGACGACGUAGACGGCUAGCCAGAGAUGUACUCCUAUUGCCGUCUUCCUCGUCACUAUCAACAUUUUGGCGAGAGUGAUCAAAAGCACCUGCAGUGGUUCCAUGACUGUAACUAGCACCUCUAGCCAAUGUAUAAUUGGAGUCUCUCUCGUGUCUCCUCAAACCUCUAGGGGGUCC
rnacentral:lncRNA from 1 species